rnacentral:rRNA from 1 species
CCUACGGGAGGCUGCAGUGGGGAAUAUUGCACAAUGGGGGAAACCCUGAUGCAGCGACGCCGCGUGAGUGAAGAAGUAUUUCGGGAUGUAAAGCUCUAUCAGCAGGGAAGAAAAUGACGGUACCUGAUUAAGAAGCCCCGGCGAACUAAGUGCCAGCAGCCGCGGUAAUACGUAGGGGGCAAGCGUUAUCCGGAUUUACUGGGUGGAAAGGGAGCGUAGACGGCAGCACAAGUCUGGAGUGAAAUGCCGGGGCUGAACCCCGGAACUGCUUUGGAAAAUGUGCAGCUAGAGUGCAGGAGUGGUAAGUGGAAUUCCUAGUGUAGCGGUGAAAUGCGUAGAUAUUAGGAGGAACACCAGUGGCGAAGGCGGCUUACUGGACUGUAACUGACGUUGAGGCUCGAAAGCGUGGGGAGCAAACAGGAUUAGAUACCCUGGUAGUC